GCGUGAGUGAUGAAGGCCCUAGGGUUGUAAAGCUCUUUUGGCAGGGACGAUAAUGACGGUACCUGCAGAAUAAGCCCCGGCUAACUUCGUGCCAGCAGCCGCGGUAAUACGAAGGGGGCUAGCGUUGCUCGGAAUCACUGGGCGUAAAGGGCGCGUAGGCGGAUGACCAAGUCGGGGGUGAAAUCCCAGGGCUCAACCCUGGAACUGCCUUCGAUACUGGUCGUCUCGAGUUCGGGAGAGGUGAGUGGAACUCCGAGUGUAGAGGUGAAAUUCGU
rnacentral:rRNA from 1 species